rnacentral:sRNA from 12 species
UGGAGGUUGAUGCGUCCCUCCCGCCGUGAGCGAGGGACACAUUGAGUAAAGAACCGGGCAGAAAUCGGGGGCCUGGGUGGCGAAGC